rnacentral:lncRNA from 1 species
UGCUGUUUUUCGUGGGUGUCGUGAUGAAAUCAUACAUCCUAAUCUCUCUCAAGCAGCAUUGCUUUUCCCACCGAGAGAUGACCUGCCUGAAAAGUAUAUAGCUUUGAUGGAAGGGUGGUCGAUUGCCGUAAAGAAAGUUGCUACAAGGAGAUUUGUAUUUGGUGCGAAAGCCAUAUCUGCAAUUCAAGAUGAAGCGAAGAGCGAGUCCGUGCCCAAGCCAUCACGAGUUCAGGCCGUCUCUGGUUUUCUCUUGAAACAUCUUCUCUCUGCUUCUCGGGCAUCAUCAUCAGGUAAAUCAGUUUAUGUGUCUUCUUAAAAGUGCACCACAUGCAAUUGCGUGAUUGGCAAAGGAGGGCUAGGCGUGAUUAAUUAAGCUAGAGAAGACAAGGUUUUUCCAUUAAUUGUUAGUGAGGCUUGCUCAAAUGCGAGCGUACAAGAGUUUUCAGUAGCUUUAUUUCUGCUGCUUAGGUUAUACCGGAUUUGUUUUGUAAGUUAGAAAAAUACAACUUAUUGGAUAUUGUUAUAAGCAUCUAAUUAAUGAUAUGAAUGAAAAAGAAAAAAGAUCGUACACUUAACAUUUUUCUGCUAUUAUUUCAUACUUAUUUUAUAUUUUUGUAUUACAUAUACUGUACAUAGCUUAAAAAUGAGAAAAUAUAUGAACUUUUGCAGGUACUACUUCAACAAAACUUUCUAUAGCAGCUCAGGUAGUGAACUUAAGAUCACAGAUGAACAUGGAGACAACGUUGGGUAAUGCCAUUGGAAACCUGAUGUGGUGGGCUCCGGCCAUACUAGAGUUAAAUCAUAAAGCACGAGAGAGCAGCGAUCCUAAGCUGUGUGACUUGGUUAUCUUGCUCAAUGAAUCUGUCAAACAAUCUAACAGUGAUUACUUCGACACUUUCAAGGGUAAAGAGGGAUAUGGAAGAAUGUGUGAGCAUCUAGAUAUGGAGGGGACUGUAAGUUCUGUAGAACCAGCACCAGAGAUAUAUUCAUUCUCGAGCUGGACUAGAUUUUUCGACCAAAUUGAUUUUGGAUGCAUGGGGGAGGUCAUCUUGGAUUGGAGUUACCGGAAAACAAUCUGCAUAUUGGAAUUCCACAGUUUUAGUACCAACACAAUGUGAUACUGGAAUUGAAGCGUGGGUGAAUCUAGAUGAAGAGAAAAUGGCUAUGCUAGAACAAGAUCCCCAGUUUCUAGCAUUAGCAUCUCCAAAGACCCUAAUUUCAAGGUAUUGAUUAUGAAAGAUUAUGUGGCUCGUGCAAUGUUUCCAUUUGCAGUGAAUAAGGAUUAAAUUAGUUCCCCGGCCAAUUAAUAAGAAGCAAGGUAUGAUAGACUAUGGCUACGUAUGUUAGUAUGUUAUCCGAAUGUGCUUCGUUAUGCUUUUAACCAAUAUAGCUCUGUUUUGUAACAAUGCUCUAUUGAGCUUCUAACUAUAGAGUUAUUUUUCUUGAUUAGAAAAAGAAACUAUGCAAGUUUUGUUUUGUUAAGCUAUUCUGUUUCUAAAAGAAAGGCUAUUCUGUUUCUAAAACGGGAUGCAUGUAUUACCUAAAAAGAUGAUUCACCUAUAAUUAUUUUUCAAGUAAAUGAUUAUUUGAUAGCAAUCACGCCGUGUAUUUCUAUAGCUAAAAUUGUAAUUUAGAUCAGUGACAACAUGAUUAAAAGUUACAUAUUCUGAUACAUUUGUUAUUUAACGACAAGUGUGGCCAUAAUGCCUCACCUAGUCACCUAAUGCGAAGACCUCUACGAGAGACUAAUGUCGUCUGAUCUUCUUUUCUUAAUCAAAAGAAACGAAAAUGGCCACAAUGCCUCACUAUUCAUAGAACCAUACAAUAAUUUGGAACAUAUGCAUGGAUGCAAAGAAAAAUAACACAAGAACCAUCAUAAUUUCACAUUAUAUGAGAAACUUAGCCAAAUCCGAAUCACAUCCAUGUUGGCCAAGAGUGACUAAAGAAGACCACCCAGAAAGCUAGAAAACCAUAAAAUCCAGAAAACUUGAAUAAGCUAGGGAAAAAACAAAAAUGUGACAUUCCAUUUCUUCUUGCGGUUUUGUUAGGCCAAAUCAAAAUCUCAAUGACCCUGCAAUCAUUUACACACACUCUUUCUCAAUCUCUGCAAAACUGACUGCUUCCCCUGAAAACUUGCGCAAUAGGGUACCUAGCUCUCUGGCCUUUUCUUUCUAAUGCACAAUUUAUGGCUUUUGGUAAUGAUGAUUUUAUGCUUGUGGAUCUCAGAUGGGUUUGUUUUGUUUUGGGAUUUUUAUAAAUGAAUGCAUUGAAAAUGUUGAAAGCUUAUGCCUUUGUUCCUUGGUUCAGUGUUCUGGUUUUGUGUACGUACGAGAGUUGAAAUGUGAUCUCUAGUAUCGGUAAAGAGAAAUGUUCUAACCAUGCUAGUGUUAGUAAUUUAUCUUCUAAAGUUGUUUGAGUACUUUACUCUCUUACUUUACUAACUAAGCAUAGGAAAUAACGACCUAAACUACCUGAUUUUCGUUAGUGCUUGUAAACACGAAAAUUCCUGUAACGAAUAACAGAAAGACAUGUGUACAAAAUAAUAUAUUUGUAUUGAUUGAAUUUGCGGGUUACAAUCUCUAUGGGUAUUCUUUUAACAAGAAUGUCCUCUGAUUCGAUCUCCGAUGUUGAUUUGAUCCAAGGGUGACAAGCACUUGAUCUUGAAUUGAACUGUUGUAGUUUGAACUUCUUAUUGUGUUGACGAUUUGUAGAAGGAAGUUGACCAAGGGCCAUAGAGGCUUGAUCUUGGUCGAAUAUGGGCCGCGAGAGGUGUCACGUGGUGAACGUUCUUCGACUUGAUAGCGGAUGAAUCGGCACGUGUGUUUGGUACUUGUUGAUUCUCCACGAGGUUGUUGAAGAACUUGGUAGAAGUUUUGAUUUGUUGAAAGACUUGAAGACGAGGGUUGAUCAAGGGCCGUAGAGGCUUGACGUUGAUCGAGUUUGGGCCGAGCAGUUCCACAUGGUGGUUGCUCUUCGUCUUGUAGUUGGUGAAGAUGUCAGCUAUUUGGCAACUUGGGACUCUUCGGGAUUUGACAACCUAUAGGCUUGAGGUUGAUGAAGAAUCAACUAUUUGGCAGCUUGAUGAUUCUUCAAGGGUUUUGGGAGAAUUCUAAACUCUCGGGAGUAAUUUUUCUCUCUUGUCUGAAAGUCGUCCUCUUGAUAUGAGAGGGGGUAUUUAUAGUGUUAAUGCUCCUCCGUAAAUGGAAUGCAUUGAAGUCACAGCUUUAAUUAUAUUUCCUUAAUGAUAUAAUUAAAUCAAUCACUUUUGAUUGAUUGAUUCAAUUAUUCAAUUUCCCAUAAUUAAAUCAAUCAGUCUUAAUUGAUCGAUUUAGUUAUGAUCGAUAAGGUAUUUCACUAAUUUGAUUAAAUUCCGACUUCCUUUUCGAUAAUUGAUUUGAUUUGAUUGAUGUUUGAUUAUCGAUUGACAUUUAAUAUUUUAUUUUAGUUGGGAUUGAUGAUUUUGUUGUCGACCGACCAUUCACACGCCGCCACGUGUUAUUUUCGAAGACUUUUCAACUUUGCUGACUCACGAGCCACGUAUGCACGAGACUUUUCAACGUCUCUAAUUUACAUAGUAAUUGACGCAAUUUGGCCGAACUGUUUCUAAACACACUAAGCUUCAGUUCUAUAUAUACCGCGUACCACAUGUUUCAUCAAGUGUCAGAUAAUACAGAACCUACUUCGCCAAAAUGGAGAAAAUUGAGGUCAGUAUAAUUUCCAAACACACCAUCAAACCAUCAACUUCCUCUUCACCACUUCAGCCUUACAAGCUUACCCUGCUCGACCAGCUCACUCCUCCAUCGUAUGUCCCCAUGGUAUUCUUCUACCCCAUUACUGGCCCUGCAGUCUUCAAUCUUCAAACCCUAGCUGACUUAAGACAUGCCCUUUCCGAGACUCUCACUUUGUACUAUCCACUCUCUGGAAGGGUCAAAAACAACCUAUACAUCGAUGAUUUUGAAGAGGGUGUCCCAUACCUUGAGGCUCGAGUGAACUGUGACAUGAAUGAUUUUCUAAGGCUUCCGAAAAUCGAGUGCCUAAAUGAGUUUGUUCCAAUAAAACCAUUUAGUAUGGAAGCAAUAUCUGAUGAGCGUUACCCUUUGCUCGGAGUUCAAGUUAACAUUUUCAACUCCGGAAUAGCAAUCGGGGUCUCCGUCUCUCACAAGCUCAUCGAUGGAAGAACUUCAGACUGUUUUCUCAAGUCGUGGUGUGCUGUUUUUCGUGGUUCUCGUGACAAAAUCAUACAUCCUAAUCUCUCUCAAGCAGCAUUGCUUUUCCCACCAAGAGAUGACUUGCCUGAAAAGUAUGCCCGUCAGAUGGAAGGGUUAUGGUUUGUCGGAAAAAAAGUUGCUACAAGGAGAUUUGUAUUUGGUGCGAAAGCCAUAUCUGUAAUUCAAGAUGAAGCAAAGAGCGAGUCCGUGCCCAAGCCAUCACGAGUUCAGGCUGUCACUAGUUUUCUCUGGAAACAUCUAAUCGCUACUUCUCGAGCACUAACAUCAGGUAUGUAAAAUCAGUUUAGCAACAAGCCAAAUACUAAAGCAACUAAAUAAAAACCUAUUGUAUUUGGGGUAGUCCCUUAUUAGCUGUUGUCCUAAACUUCUAACGAUAUGAACUUUUUUCUCAAAAGAAAAAAAUAGUACACUUAACAUUUUCUGUUAUAAUUUCAUACUUAUUUAUAUAUUUUUAUUACAUACAUAGCUCAAAGAAUGAGAAAAUAUAUGAACCUGCAGGUACUACUUCAACAAGACUUUCUAUAGCAACCCAGGUAGUGAACAUAAGAUCACGGAGGAACAUGGAGACAGUGUGGGAUAAUGCCAUUGGAAACUUGAUAUGGUUCGCUCCGGCCAUACUAGAGCUAAGUCAUACAACACUAGAGAUCAGUGAUCUUAAGCUGUGUGACUUGGUUAACUUGCUCAAUGGAUCUGUCAAACAAUGUAACGGUGAUUACUUUGAGACUUUCAUGGGUAAAGAGGGAUAUGGAAGCAUGUGCGAGUAUCUAGAUUUUCAGAGGACUAUGAGUUCUAUGGAACCAGCACCAGAGAUUUAUUUAUUCACGAGCUGGACUAAUUUUUUCAACCAACUUGAUUUUGGAUGGGGGAGGACAUCAUGGAUUGGAGUUGCAGGAAAAAUUGAAUCUGCAUUUUGCAAUCUCAUAACAUUAGUUCCAACACCAUGCGAUACUGGAAUUGAAGCGUGGGUGAAUCUAGAAGAAGAAAAAAUGGCUAUGCUAGAACAAGAUCCCCAGUUUCUAGCACUAGCAUCUCCAAAGACGCUAAUUUCAAGAUAUUGAUUAAGGAAGAUUAUGCGGCUCGUGCAAUGUUUCCAUUUUGUUGUGAUUAAGGCUUAAAUUAGUUCACCAGCCAAUCAAUAAGAUGCAAGUAUGAUAGACUCGGUCUACGUAUGUUAUCCGAAUGUGUUUCCACAUGCUUGUAACCAAUAUAGCUCUUGUUUGUAACAAUGCUCUAUUAAGCUCUUCUAUCCAUAAAGUUAUUUCUCUAUUAAAAAGAAAACUAUACAAGUUUUGUUAAGUUUUUAAGGUAAGAUGCAUGUAGUACCCAAAAAGAUGGUUGACCUGUCAUUAUUUUCAAGUACAUGAUUAUCCGAUACAAUUACAUCAAAUAUUUCUAUAGCUAAAAAGUAUGUAAUUUUGAUCCGUGACAACAUGAUUAAAAAGUUAUAUAUUAUGAUGCAUUUAUCCUCUAACGACAAGCAUGGUCAUAAUGUCUCACCUCAUCACCUCACCAAGCGCGGAUCCAGUUCACAAGUGGGUAAGGCUCAAGCCCAACCAAGAAAAUUGGGGGAAAAAAAAACCUAAGUAUAGAUAUAUAUUUUUUUGGGUGAUAUAUCAUAUAUGCCCAGCCAUCAAGUGACCAAGCCCAACCCACCUAACUCAACCCAUCCCACUAACUACCCAAGUCCACAAUCAUCACUCAUCACUCAUCCACCCAACCUCCUUCAUCGAAGGAGUCCUUUAACUAAUCAGCUUAAACACCAAGUCUAAAAGUCUUCCCUGCUCUUCCCCUCCGCCUCCACUCAGUCACUCACCUAUGACCUAUCCCGGCUAUCCGGCUAUCCCUCUUCCCCUCCAGUCCUCCACGGCUCCACCAUAAUCUCCUUCUUCCCGGCCUCCUCCGGUCCUCCGAUUCCUCCCGGAUAGCGACGACUCGCCUCCGGCGGUCCGGACCUCCGCGGCUCCGCCUCCAGUCCUCCACUCACCUAUCCCUCUUCCAGCUGCUAGAAAGCUUGUUCGAGACUUGGUCCUCCACAGACAACCCAUUAGUCCAUUACCCAUCUUUCUUCACUCUCAGCCAGCAUGGUUGUACUAGAAAUUUUUUUUUGGCCUUCGGCCAAAGUUCAAGCCCACCCCAUCUUUAAAUCAUGGAUCCGCCACUGCACCUCACCAUAGUGUCCUAUCCUCUUAGGAGAAGGUAGGCACCUAAUGCAAAGGCCUUUAUGAGAGACUAAUAUCGUCUGAUCUUCUUUUCUUAAUCAAAAGAAAUGAAAAUGGCCACAAUGCCUCACUAUUCAUAGAGCCAUACAAUACUCUGGAACAUAUGCAUGGAGACAAAGAAAAAUAACACAAGAACCAUUAUAAUUUCACUUUAUACGGGAAACUUAGCUAAAUCCGAAUCAUGGGCGGAGCCAACCCAGGUGAAAUUUUGAAGCCCAAAAAAUUACCUGAAACAUCGUCGUUUGGGUGUAGGUUAUUUCUCCGUUUACUUCUUCUCAAUCUUAGUCAUAACUCACACCAUUGCGUCCGUAGCCCGUCGUUGUCGCUAGAGCGGUCGCCAUUUCCCAUAGCCCGCGCCGUCGCCCGUAGACCACAUCCCGAGUCAGUCAGUCCCCACUUGGCUACUUCCCCAGGUAUGGCUCAAUCGGAUUGCUUAUAUUCUGAUCGUGGACAUAGCAGGCUUCAAUUCAAAAGCCAUCAUAUUCAUAUGCUUCAAUGUUGCUUUACUUCGUCUAUAACUAGAGUUUCAGCUUUGCUUCGUCUUCAAUGUUGAUAUGUUGAUAUAAAAUAUUAACUUGAUUAGGAUUUGUUGAUAUAGAAUAUUACCUUGAUUAGGAUUUGUUGUUAUGUAAUAUGUAUUAGGAUAUUUAUUACUCAUAUUAGGAUUUGUUAUAUGAUCUUACAUCCUUACGAAUGAAUAUACAUCAACACAAUCGAAAUCUGCAUGGUCAUAUUAGCCUUAACUAGUUCAGUCCAAUUCAUAUUAGUCUUAAACUAGUUCAGUCUAAUUCCUCAUGGGUAUAUGCUGAACUUUAAGAUGUUGAUCUUCUAUAAUAACUGAGUUCGAUACCAGAAAUCUUUGAUGAUUGUCCACAUAUGUUAUCUUAUAAUCCUAUAUUAAUUUGUACUAAUCUCAUAGUCUUAAUUUGAAAGCUCCUUAUACGUCUUAACUUGGAUAUGGAUGUGGAUUUGAUCUUAUUAUAUGUAAUAUUAAAGUGAAGUUGUUGUAUUACACAGAAUGUUUGAUGAAUAAAUAACAAAUUGAUCGCGUCAAAAGGCUAGAUCAAAAAAUUUCUUGCACCAUCGAACAAAUUUUCUUGUGUAUACAAUUUCAUGGUUCCGCCACAUUGGCAACAAAGAGUGAUUGGAAAAGAAGAACACCCAGAAAGAUAAAAACCAUAAAACUUGUUUAAGCGAAAAAAACAAAAGUAUGCCAUUCAUUUCUUCUUGCGGUUUUGUUAGGCCAAAAAUCAAAAUCCCAUGAUACCCAAUCAGUUACACACUCUCCCUCUCAAUCUCUACAGAACUGACUGCUUCCCCUGAAAACUUGCGCAAUAAGGUACCCAUCUCUCUGGCCUUUUCUUUGUAAUGCAUAUAAGUUCCUGUAAAUUUUAAAGCUUUUGGAAUGAUGAUUUUAUGCUUGUGGAUCUCAAGAUGAGUUUGUUUGUUUUUUUCGGGAUUUUUAUAAUGAAUGCAUUGAAAAUGUUGAAAGCUUAUGCCUUUGUUCCUUGGUUCAGUGUUUUGGUUUUGUAUACGAGAGUUGAAAUGUGAUCUCUAGCUUGACUGUUGGUAUUGGUAAAGAGAAAUGUUCUAGAAAACCAUGCUAGUAUUAGUAAGUUAUCUUCUAAAGUUGUUCGAGUACUGUACUAAGCAUAGGAAAUAACGACCUAAGCUACCUUAUUUUCGUUAGUGCUAGCUGCUAUGAGAAACUUACCCAAUUCGUUGUUAAAAAUAGGGAAAAUACCCAAAUACUCAAAAAUUAGAAAGCUAAAACCCAUUCCAAUGAAAUUAUAAUCCUUUAGCUCAUUCCUAUGUUACACCGAUACUCCACCCCACGGACACUCCAACACUCCCGACACACCGAUAUCGAUACGAUACACCAAAAUGUGUGUCCGACACGCCACGUGGCGUGUCAAAAAAAGUUGACUUUUUAGACACGUUACGUCAGCCUGAGACACGCCAAGUCAGUGUGUAUUGAUUGAAAAAAAAAAAUACAGAACUAAAAGUCUAAAACCUAAUCGAAGAGGAAGCCCACUUUAAAGAAGCCGCAUAGAAGAGGAACGAUGUCACCGUUCACUAUCACUGCGAGAACGACGUCGUCUGUCCAUGUCAGUGUGAUUGUUCCUCCGAUGACACCACUCUGCGAGAACGACGAGAACAGCGUCGCCUUUCUCUGUUACAGCGACUCGUCCUCCGUCGGCCUAAACCCUCUCUUUAGUGUAAGGUUAAUCUUAAUCUCAGCUUUGACGUGUUUGGUGAUUGCAGUCUCAUUUGCAGUAACAGAAAAGCAUAUAAGAUUUUAAUCAUUUUAUGAUCAUUCUGAUACCACUUAUAGAUUUUUAAGGCAAUGUGCUAUUGAAGCAUCUGCACUGUGAUGUUAAGUGUCAUGAUAUUGCUCAAUUGCUGAUAGGGUAGGAUGGAGCUAGACAUUUGAGACUUUGCAAAAUUGAGUUUAUACCUACUAGUAUUAGAUCAUCAAUUAGUUGAGAGUUUGUAGGAGGUCAGGUUUUAUACUUGGUGAGAAACAUCGGCUCAUCUGUAUUUGUAAGGAAGAUUUAAUUGAAAGGAGUUGUGUAUGGAUUGCUUAUUUGUUUAUCUUUGCUCUGUUAAUUGUUAAUAUGUUAUGAUAUGCUGCUGUGUCUAUGCUGAUGUGCUUAUGCUACUGUGUGUCUAUGCUACUGUGUCUAUGCUAUUGUCUUAUGUUGUUUUGUUGGAUUAUUAUGAUUAGGAUGAGUUCAAGUGCGACAUCUACUGAACCUAGUGUUGAAUCAACUAAGCCUGAAAAAUUAGAUGCUCCUCUAUCAAGGAUAAAGGAUGAUGCCAAUGCAUGCGUGCCUUGCUCUUAUGUAUUUUGAAUAUCUCAGUUAUGGGGUUUUAGGCAGUUGGUGUUAUUAUAGGGUUAGGAAAGUCGGAUUUUCAUUCAGUUUGAUGAAUGUGUUGAAUUAGAUAAAACUAUUUAGUAAUCAUCCUUUAGAUUAAAUAUUGACUCUCUUUUAUGUUAUUUGUUACAGUUAUGCAAUUGCUUAAAUUUAGAGCAUUAUUUAAGCAAUGUGAUAAAUUUAUUCAUAUUUGAGCAUUUUUUUAUUAAUUAGAAAUAUACAAAUAAGUAAUUAUAUUUGCCGUGUCUAAGCCGUGUCGAAAAUGUAGUCUUUGAGUUUUGCCGUGUCGCCGUGUCAGUACGUAUCGUGUCGCCGUAUCCGUGUCCGUGUCCAUGUAACAUAGGCUCAUUCCAAUGAUUCUUAUGCAAAAGACAUUAUUANNNNNNNNNNNNNNNNNNNNCUCUCUCUCUCUCUCUCUCUCUCUCUCUCUCUCCUCUCUCUCUCUCUCUCUCUCUCUCUCUCUCUCUCUCUCUCUCUCUCUCGGUGUACGACGAUGCAAGGUUGAAGACGCAGCCUCCUACUGAGUCGACGAGACCGCGCUCGUGGUCGUGAUUCUCCUCAACAGCGACAUCGAUUUUGGCGGCACCUCUCGGAGAUGAUCCUCAUCUGCCAGAACCUCUGCAACAAUCUCUAGAGCCCUAACGAGCACAUCCGGGGCGUCACGCUCCAGUUCCUCUACUGGUUGAGCAAGUUGGAGAUUGUCCGGCCGUUGAUUUCAUCGAUUUUGGCCAAUCUAGUCAGAGAUUGAGGUCUGUGUUUAGUGCAAACAUGGAUAACGUUCUUCUUCUCCUUUUUUUAUCGGAGAUCGUGUUUUUGUUUUUGUUUUGGUCAGAGAGAUUGUGGUUUUUUCCCCUUUUUUUUUCAAUAUAAUGGUUAUUAAAUGAUAGUAUCUUGAUUAUUGGAGUAAUUAGUCUAUUAUUGGGAGGUAAGAAGUAUCUAGUGGAGGUCAAUAAACAUUUAUUGACCCCAAUAUUGCUUUUAUAAAUUUUUUUUGAGAUGUAGGGAUUUGCCUUAGAGGUAAAAACUUCCUUUUUAACUCGAUUACUAGGAAUCAUUAACUGAUUAUUGAGGUUAAGUAACUGAUUAUUGAGGGUCAGUAAGUGAUUAUUGGGGUUCAGUAACUGAUUAUUGGGGGUUAAUAACUGAUUAUUGGGGGUCAUUUUGAGAGUCAGUAACCGAGUUAUUGGUGAUCAGAAUCCAGCAACCGGAAAAAAUCUGAGUUACUGGGGGUCAGUAACUAAGUUACCGGUUAUCGGAAUCAGGCGACCGGAGAAAAUAUGAGUUACUAGGAGUCAAUAACGGCGACCGAAGAAAUUUCUGGCAACCGGGGACCGGAAUCCGGCGACCGGCAACCAGAGUCCGGCGGCGGGUGACCGGAGUCCGGUGAGAUUCCGGCCAAGUAUUCUCUCUCUUCCACUUUCUCUCUCUAUACAUGUUGAAGUGGUGAGAGUAAAAUUGUCUUAAAAAUAUAUAAAAAUUAUUUUUUAUUAUAACAUUAGUAAAGAUUUGUGCAUAAAAAAUGUUACCUUAUAUUGGAAUGAGCUCAUGAAAAAGAUUAACAUUAAAAUGGGGAAUAAGAGGUUUAAAUUAGUAUUAAAUUGACAUUUUCCCUUUAAAAUAAUAACAGAACCAUCAAUGCCGUGAUAGUCCCUUAAUAUUUGGUGGCUAAUUAGUAAUGCAUUCAUGGUAGUUGUGCUUAUUUUGUGCAUGUAUUCUAAUUCUAUCACUUGCAAAAUCGUUGUGGAAGGUUAAGAGGAGAAAACAGAAAAUGGGGCAGCAUGCAUCUCAUUUUAUUUCCGAUCAUAUUUUCAUAUCAUAGACGUUCACUAUUUAGAUAUACAUGAGUUGAUCAUCUCUACAAAAUUUCAACUAAUUUAGUUAUCAUUAAGGUAUCGAAAAUGUAUUAAAUCAAUGAACGAACCGAAUCUGUUCAUCCUGAACUGUACGUUCUAUUAGUUCUAAAUCACAGUUUUGAAUGUCUUAAUGAUUAUCAACUUGGCUGAAAAUUUAUAUAGAUGAUCUACUGAUAUAUAUACCUAAAAUAUGAACGGUUGAGAUGAGAAAAUAUGAUCGAAAGUGGGACAAAUAAUGAAAUCCGUACCUUAGAUAAGGUAAGGAGGUCCUUACCUGAUCAAGAUUGUGUGUGUGUGUCUAUAGAGUUUAGGGUUUAGAGUUUUAGGGUGUCAUGAAGAUAUCAUACAUCCUAAUCUCUCUGAAGCAGCAUUGCUUUUCCCACCGAGAGAUGACUUGCCUGAAAAGUAUGCCGGUCAGAUGGAAGGGUUAUGGUUUGCCGGAAAGAAUGUUGCUACAAGGAGAUUUGUAUUUGGUGCGAAAGCCAUAUCUUCAAUUCAAGAUGAAGCGAAGAGCGAGUCUGUGCCCAAGCCAUCACAAGUUCAGGCCGUCACUGGUUUUCUCUGGAAACAUCUAAUUGCUGCUUCUCGGGCACUAACAUCAGGUAAAAUCAGUUUAUCAACAAGCGUAAUGUAUUUGGGGUAGUCCCUUAUUAAUUAGCUGUUGUCCUAAACUUCUAACGAUAUGAACUUCUUUUUCAAAAGAAAAAAAAUAGUACACACUUAACAUUUUUUCUGUUAUAAUUUCACAUUAUUUAUAUAUUUUUAUUACGUAUAGUGUACUGUGUACAUAGCUCAAAGAAAGAUAAUAUAUAUGAAC